rnacentral:ncRNA from 17 species
GGGUGCCACCGCAGUUGCGGCAAGGCAGGUUCAUUCCCGCGCUGGUCGGGCCGCCAGCG